UUCCCUGGACUCUUAUUGCCUCUGAGAGUGCUGGGGGGUGUAAGUCACCACCCUCAGGAAGGCACUUGCAGAAGAGAGGGGGUUGAAAAUCCAAGCCCUACCAUGAAAGGUCAUCUCCAGUGAACAGGAAGAAGACUGGGCACUUGGCCGUGCUUGGCAGCUGACCUUGGCCCUUGGCAAGCCUCCCCCACGGGUUUGGCAUGCUGUAGAAGUGGGCAGGUCAUCCUGAUUCCUCUCAACCCUGUACCUCCUCCCAUGCCCAGGGCUGGUGUGAAGGUCACACAUCUCUCUUUUGAAUCAUCUCUGUGUUUAGGUUGCUCAAGUCCAAGCUAACUGGGACCACUGACUGUUCUAAACUGAAACCAGACGUUCAUUUUGAUGUGAGAGACAGAAGGUUCCAUUUAGUGGUAUAUGAGGAAUGGUUAAAUUUGUACAGGAGUCAAGGUCAAUAUCAACAGUGCCUUGCUGUGGCGGAGAGUCUACCAGGUGCAACCCCCAGCCUCUGGUUUCAGUGCAGCAUGCUGUGGAAAGCCCCACCUUGGCCAGAUACUUUGGAGCAAAGGCAGAAAGGAUGUCAGCUAUAUGUUGGGUGAUAUUUGUGUCCUCUGAAAUUAGGCUACUCCAGAUCAUAUUCCUUGUUUCAGCUCAGGCAACACACACCUAAAUUUUUUUUUUCUUUUAGUUCAAGCUCAGUUUGUUUAUCUUCACUUUAAAGUAUUCUCAAUUUGUGUUAGGUUCAGAUACCAUUUAGAACCCCAAGGCCCUUCUUUGCAUUUAAAGCUCUCUUAUUUUGGCCAUAGAUUAGAGUUAAACAUGUUAGUACUGUAUAAUUGUUUGCUAUUGAAUAAGCAGUGCUUAGUAACAUGAAUAUAUGCUGAAAUUAUGUGACCAGGGAUGUGACAUUUAUGGUAAUCAAUCAAUAAAUGAUGUACAUGGGCA